UAAAGUACUAUGAGUGAUGAAAAUAAAAUGGGAUGUGGGGUUAGGAUUGAUGGGAUUAGUCUACUCUGCGGUGGACCCGAGCACAGGUGAACUACUCUGAGUGUCGACUCAUAAAAGCGCGUGACGUUAAAGUUUGAAGGAGUGGGACCCAUGUGCGGGGUCCAAUUUGACUCAUUACCCAUUGCUGACCUACAUCCUCACUGUAAACCACCAACUUUCAUACACUAACAACUUCCAACAAAUUUCUAUUUCUACCUCGUAAAAGAAAUACCAAUAAUAUCAAUAUUCUGCACCAUAUAAUUUAACCUCCAUGGAUUUGUAAGGUUAUAAUUAAUUAAAAUUGCUUUCUGCAACCCUCAGAUUUAAACCUGCACCUCUCAAAAGUGUGAGCUUUUCAUAUUUAAUUUUAAUUUUUUUUCUCUCUUCUCCUUCACCUUUACCUUCACCUCUGUGCGUUUCUGUUCUCACUUUUUCGUUCCCCCUUCUCCUGGCGUUUUUAUCCCAAAGUGAUUCCAUUGUCUCUUAUCCCUCUUUUGUGGCCUUCGUUGUGAUUGCGCCGCCGUGUUCGGAGCACCGGAGUAAGGAUUUGCGGCAAAGCGUCGUGAUUAUGCGGCUGAGGCCUCAAAUUCUUCACGGUAUUAUUCAUCAGGCUCCAUGUGUUUGGUAUUUUGCUUAGUAGGAUAAAAGUCAAUGUAGUUACUUUACUUUACCAGACAAAAUCAAGUUGCUUAGACAACACUCCUAAGUUGGUAUGUGCCUUUAUAUAAACCUUAUUUAUAUGGAAAAGGAAGAUGAAUGGUGAUGUAUGCGAGCUUCUUAAUUAUUAAAGUUUCCCUGUUAAAUAUAUGAUUACAACUUAGGAAAAUUGUACGUGUAGUUUGUGAGACCUCUACUCUACCUACACCCAUGAGUGUGAAUUGAUUGGUUUUAUACAGCUGUGGGUUUCUUUCUCUUCU